UAGUUAUGUUCUUUAAACCUAAAGAAUUUGGCGGUGUUUUAGUCUAUUUAGAGGAAUUUGCCCCUUAAUCGAUAAUCCUCGUUUUAUCUUACUUUAUUUUGUUUUCAGUAUGUAUACCGCUGUUAUCAGUUUAUUUUAUUAGAAUAAUAAUUUACUUAAUUCUUAAUUUUGAAUUAUUUCAAGUCAAGGUGCAGCUAAUAAUUAAGUGGAGGUGAGUUACAAUAAUAUUUGAUUAUAUGGAUUAUAUUUUUAAAAUGUUUAUGAAAGUGGAUUUAAUUGUAAUUUUUAUUAUAAUAUUUAUUUGAUUUUAGCUCUAAAAUAAGUACACAUCGCCCGGUCGCUCUA
rnacentral:rRNA from 1 species